AUUGAACGCUGGCGGCAGGCCUAACACAUGCAAGUCGAACGAGUGGCGGACGGGUGAGUAAUGUCUGGGAACCUGCCUGAUGGAGGGGGAUCACUACUGGAAACGGUCGCUAAUACCGCAUACCCUCGGAUGUGCCCAUAUGGGAUUAGCUAGUCGGUGGGGUAAAGGCUCACCUAGGAGACGAUCCCUAGCUGGUCUGAGAGGAUGACAAGCCACACGGGAACUGAGACACGGUCCAGAAUCCUACGGGAGGCAGCAGGGGGGAAUAUUGCACAAUGGGCGCAAGCCUGAUGCAGCCAGGCCGCGUGUAUGAAGAAGGCCGUAGGGUUGUAAAGUACUUUCAGCGGGGAGGCGUUACCCGCAGAAGAAGCACCGGCUAACUCCGUGCCAGCCGCCGCGGUAAUUC
rnacentral:rRNA from 1 species